UCCCCAGCUGUCGUUGGACUACACCCCCCAUCAUCCCUGACCACUGGUCCUGCUAGCUAGGGAUGAUGGGAGCUGUAGUCCAGCAACAGCUGGGGA
rnacentral:miRNA from 1 species